AUGGAGGUGUGCCAGGACCAGGGUACUCAGAAGGGUGGGAAGCUCACAGACCACCUUGCUUUGAGUGCCUCUCAGCCGCUCUCUUGCUCUGUGAUUUUAAGGAAGUCCUUGAACCUCUCUGAGCCUGCUUUUUCCAUCUGCAGAUCGGUGAUAAUGAAACCUACCUUGCUGUUUCACGUUGAGGAAUCACUGCGGGAAGGUUGGACUCCCCAGAAGCAGACCCUGAGUGAUUCACUUAAGGAAUAUUGCCAGGAAAAACUGGUGAGAAGUGGGCCCCAGAAGAAAAGGAGGACGCCGGGACAAGGUGCAACACUGAGCAAAGCCUCAGGAAAGGAAAUGCUGAGAUGUGACUUACCGUCUUUCCAAAUCUUCCUGUGUACUGUCCCUGCUAUCCUGGCCAGGGACCACGGAAGCUGGAGUAUUUACACCUCCCUCUCACCUGUCAUUCACCAGUUAAAGACUGUCAUUUCUAGAAGGAAGUCAAUCUUCAUUAUUGUACUAUCAAAAUAG
rnacentral:lncRNA from 1 species